rnacentral:rRNA from 1 species
GCGAACUUCCGUUAUUGACUACGACGUGCUUGCACUGAAUGAGAUUUUAACACGAAGUGAGUGGCGGACGGGUGAGUAACACGUGGGGUAACCUGCCCAGAAGCAGGGGAUAACACCUGGAAACAGAUGCUAAUACCGUAUAACAGAGAAAACCGCCUGGUUUUCUUUUAAAAGAUGGCUCUGCUAUCACUUCUGGAUGGACCCGCGGCGCAUUAGCUAGUUGGUGAGGUAACGGCUCACCAAGGCGAUGAUGCGUAGCCGACCUGAGAGGGUAAUCGGCCACAUUGGGACUGAGACACGGCCCAGACUCCUACGGGAGGCAGCAGUAGGGAAUCUUCCACAAUGGACGCAAGUCUGAUGGAGCAACGCCGCGUGAGUGAAGAAGGGUUUCGGCUCGUAAAGCUCUGUUGUUAAAGAAGAACGUGGGUGAGAGUAACUGUUCACCCAGUGACGGUAUUUAACCAGAAAGCCACGGCUAACUACGUGCCAGCAGCCGCGGUAAUACGUAGGUGGCAAGCGUUAUCCGGAUUUAUUGGGCGUAAAGCGAGCGCAGGCGGUCUUUUAAGUCUAAUGUGAAAGCCUUCGGCUCAACCGAAGAAGUGCAUUGGAAACUGGGAGACUUGAGUGCAGAAGAGGAUAGUGGAACUCCAUGUGUAGCGGUGAAAUGCGUAGAUAUAUGGAAGAACACCAGUGGCGAAGGCGGCUGUCUGGUCUGUAACUGACGCUGAGGCUCGAAAGCAUGGGUAGCGAACAGGAUUAGAUACCCUGGUAGUCCAUGCCGUAAACGAUGAUUACUAAGUGUUGGAGGGUUUCCGCCCUUCAGUGCUGCAGCUAACGCAUUAAGUAAUCCGCCUGGGGAGUACGACCGCAAGGUUGAAACUCAAAAGAAUUGACGGGGGCCCGCACAAGCGGUGGAGCAUGUGGUUUAAUUCGAAGCUACGCGAAGAACCUUACCAGGUCUUGACAUCUUCUGCCAACCUAAGAGAUUAGGCGUUCCCUUCGGGGACAGAAUGACAGGUGGUGCAUGGUUGUCGUCAGCUCGUGUCGUGAGAUGUUGGGUUAAGUCCCGCAACGAGCGCAACCCUUAUUACUAGUUGCCAGCAUUCAGUUGGGCACUCUAGUGAGACUGCCGGUGACAAACCGGAGGAAGGUGGGGACGACGUCAAAUCAUCAUGCCCCUUAUGACCUGGGCUACACACGUGCUACAAUGGAUGGUACAACGAGUCGCGAAACCGCGGAGGUUUAGCUAAUCUCUUAAAACCAUUCUCAGUUCGGACUGUAGGCUGCAACUCGCCUACACGAAGUCGGAAUCGCUAGAAUCGCGGAUCAGCAUGCCGCGGUGAAUACGUUCCCGGGCCUUGUACACACCGCCCGUCACACCAUGAGAGUUUGUAACACCCAAAGCCGGUGGGGUAACCUUUUAGGAGA